rnacentral:rRNA from 1 species
UACGUAGGGCGCAAGCGUUAUCCGGAUUUAUUGGGCGUAAAGAGCGUGUAGGCGGUUUGGUAGGUCCGUUGUGAAAACUCGAGGCUCAGCCUCGAGACGCCGAUGGAAACCAUCAGACUAGAGUCCGGAAGAGGAGAGUGGAAUUCCACGUGUAGCGGUGAAAUGCGUAGAUAUGUGGAGGAAUACCGAUGGCGAAGGCAGCCUCCUGGGCCAACACUGACGCUCAUGCACGAAAGCGUGGGGAGCAAACAGG